rnacentral:rRNA from 1 species
CCUACGGGCGGCAGCAGUGAGGAAUAUUGGUCAAUGGGCGCGAGCCUGAACCAGCCAAGUAGCGUGAAGGAUGACUGCCCUACGGGUUGUAAACUUCUUUUAUAAAGGAAUAAAGUGAGGCACGUGUGCCUUUUUGUAUGUACUUUAUGAAUAAGGAUCGGCUAACUCCGUGCCAUCAGCCGCGGUAAUACGGAGGAUCCGAGCGUUAUCCGGAUUUAUUGGGUUUAAAGGGAGCGUAGAUGGGUUGUUAAGUCAGUUGUGAAAGUUUGCGGCUCAACCGUAAAAUUGCAAUUGAUACUGGCAGUCUUGAGUACAGUUGAGGUAGGCGGAAUUCGUGGUGUAGCGGUGAAAUGCUUAGAUAUCACGAAGAACUCCGAUUGCGAAGGCAGCUUACUAAACUGCCACUGACAUUGAUGCUCGAAAGUGUAGGUAUCAAACAGGAUUAGAUACCCUAGUAGUC